rnacentral:lncRNA from 1 species
AUAAAUUUCAAACUGUAAAUUUAUAUAAAGCUUGACUCCACAGGCAAAUGUGCCACCUUUUCCCUAAUGCAUAUACAGCUACAGCCUCCCCCUUUUUUUCUUUUUUUUUUAGGAAAACACAGACUAGAACAAUCAUAAAGUUUAGUCUGCAAUUUCAUUGCUCUCUGACAUUUUCACCUAUAAGGAGACUCCUCCCAUUUUAUGCAGUGUAAGGGAAAGCCAAGCUCUCUUGGCUCAGGUAAGUACAAAUAAGCCAGAAGACAUCCAGGUCCAUGGGGAGCCUGCAGAUUUGAGCUGUUCCACUGAGGUGCAAAUCCACCUGGCCAUGUCCUGGCAGUAUUUGCUGAAGGAUGCCCACCAGCACAGUGUCCAGGACAUCCAUCACACCUGCUGCUGAGGUGCCUAGGAGUCCAUCCACAGGCACUUGGCAUCGACCACCUCAGUUAUGGGCACAGUCUUAGCCAUGGCCACAUCUCCCUUGCCCUUGUGUCCCAGGCAGAGAGCCACAGCUCAGGCAAGCAGCAGCAUCCUAGAUAAGCUUCCCCAAGGAACUCCAUCAGGGUUACAACUGCCUUGCAUGAACAUGCAUCCUAAAAGCCUGCAUCCUAUACCCUAGAUGUGAGAUUUUUUUUCUGUAUUGUGACUAUCAGGUAUUAACGAAAAUAUUUUGAAGUCCAGAUUGUUUCCUGGCAAGCCACUGUACCAACUUUCCACGGGAUAAUGCAAGUUAUGGUGUCUGAACUAUUCCAAGCAAACAUUUUGUUAGUGGAUCUUUUGGUGUUACUGCUGCUAGUGUGCUACCCCAUUUAUUUUCAUUCACAGUGGGCAGGUCACCAGGUAACCCUACAGAUACUGUUGUCAUGUGAUGACAAGGAAAAGAGUUGAUUCUUUACUGAAUAGGAACUUUUUUUUAAUGAAGUAUGAAUCCAGACAAAAGAUGUUUUAAUUUUCAAAGUCAUUGUGGAGAAACAUUACUAACUAUUCAAUAAAAUUCUGUGAAUUCUCCCUAUGAAUAAUUCUCCCUAAUAAACUGCUUGGAUUUGCUCGAAAGUCAGAUUAAAAAUACUAACUCUGUAUAAAUGGAAUCUAAGCAACAGGGAUAAUUCUUGAAGCAAAACUUCAUUAAGAUUACUUAAAAAUGUUACAAUGCUUUAAAAGUUGACUUGCAGCAAAGCACAUCUCUUUUUCAAGGGGGAAACUUGGAUGUCUCAGUGUCAUGUGAAGUCAAACUACCUUGGCCACCAGAUCAUCACUGGAACUGGGUUCAAAGAUCUAAGGGAUUCCUCUUGCUUUUACUUCAGUGGGCAGUGUGACACGUCACAAGCUCAUUUGGCCUGAUAAAGAAUGAAGGCAAAGAAAGUGACUGCUGGGUCUAAGAAUAUCAUCC